rnacentral:rRNA from 1 species
UGUGUCCUACGGGGCGCAGCAGUGGGGGAUAUUGCACAAUGGGGGGAACCCUGGUGCAGCGACGCCGCGUGGGUGAAGAAGCGCCUCGGCGCGUAAAGCCCUGUCAGCAGGGAAGAAAAUGACGGUACCUGAAGAAGAAGCCCCGGCUAACUACGUGCCAGCAGCCGCGGUAAUAAGUAGGGGGCAAGCGUUAUCCGGAUUUACUGGGUGUAAAGGGGGCGCAGACGGCGAUGCAAGGCAGGAGUGAAA